ensembl:lncRNA novel transcript
GCCAUUCUCCUGCCUCAGCCUUCCGAGUAGCUGGGACUAUAGGUGCCCGCCACCACGCCAGGCUAAUUUUUUGUAUUUUUAGUAGAGAUGGGGUUUCACCGUGUUAGCCAGGAUGGUCUCGAUCUUCUGACCUCGUGAUCCGCCCGCCUCGGCCUCCCAAAGUGCUAGGAUUACAGGCGUGAGCCACCGCGCCCGGCAGCAAAUUUUAAGCCAAGAAAUUGAAUGUUGCCAGAACCCCAGGAACCACCCAGCCUCUUCCCAUAUGACCACUUCCCCACACUCUCCACCUUCCUUACUUCUAUGAUGCCCCUGGCUUCAGAUAGAAAGGCCCUGAACAUCUACUGGGGUUUUGAGAAGAAUAUCAACACUUUCCUAAGAGAAUUUUCUAUCUGUAAGAUCAUAUACUUGAUUGGAAAUGGCUUUGCUAACUGGUAUAUUUUUAUUCAUUUGAUCAACUUAAAUAUACCCUUACAAAAGAAGUUUAUACCAAUACAUCAAGCGUACAACAAAGUGAACACAGUGACUGCAAACCAGAUCUGUAGGCCUCAUGCCUCAAAUAAUGAAAAUUGUGAUUUUUUUUCAUUGUGCAAACAACUUGAUUAUUAACUCUGAUGAAUAUCCGCUAAAAAUAUUUUGAAUAUUAUGAAAAGCAGUUGGAAAAACUUGAUAUGUAUUCUUUGAAAUUAUUUUUCCAAAUGGAGUAAAUGGAUUAAAAUAAAAGAAAGAAAAACCAAAAAUAUUUUCCCUUAAGGACAUUAGCAGAUAAUAUUAAUAUAUUCAGAAAAAGUUUGAAGCUUGCUUCAGUUUUUGAAAUAAAUAUUUAUCAGAAAAAACUUCCUAUUUUAUUUUGAUUCAAAAUUAAUUAUCAGGAUUCAGUUCUUUCAGAGAAUAUAGUGAUUUUUUUUUCUAUUCUCAUUCUAUGCUCUUGUCAGUUGGAAUUCAGUGAAAUCAUAACUAAUCACUGAAACUAUUUUAUAAAAAUUUCUUUUCAUCUGAAACUAAGUGACUGAGCCUAUUAUACGCUUUAUUCUUGAUUGACUUUAUUCUUUUCUGUUAGAAAUUAUAUUUAGGUAUGCAUUUCUACAAAUUGAUUACACCGAAUAUUGCUCAUUUUACUACUUAACUUUUAGUUUGGAUUUAAUUUUUAAAUUCAAUAAUGUUAUUUUGCUCUAUUUGUACUAUAGGUUUGUAUUAUAGUUUGUCUAAUGACAGUAGUAAUAUAAUAUUUUAUUCAUGAAUGCAUGUUAAUAAAAAUGUAUAUUAUAUACAUAAGUAUAUAA